ensembl:lncRNA
UCAUGUAUAAGAGGGUCACCUUUAUUGUCACAAAAACACAACAGGAAUGUACAAAAGCAGCAACCUUUUCAUUUGAUUUUUCUCACACGAAGUGGCAACUUGUACGUUCCAUACACGAAGUUGCGUUGUGUUUUGCACGGUUUAGUUGGUCUUUAGUUAUACUGACUUCGUAGUAGUUUUGUCAUUCUUCUUCACAAUUCACAAACACUUACCCCACACAGCAAGCAUCACUCUCAGACUGGAGGAAACAGCGUUUAGUUGAUAUACAAUAUCAUUCAGAUAUCUUUCUCGACGGUUAUAGUAGUCGUUUUUUUCUUUAUUCUGACAGUAAAAGGGGCUACCCAUUUUGAACAUAAUACAAAAAUCUAGAUUACUGUACAAUUUUUGUUUACUCUAUCAUACACUCACAAGUAUACACAGAAUUAUUGACAAGAAAAUGAGACCUCUGUUGACCCAGCGUGCAGAUUUUCCAGGAAUGUAUACAGUAUGCAUGCCAUUUUGGAGUAGUAGUUUUUUGUUUUUUUUAACUUCUAUAAAAAUUUCACAUAAAAUCAAUUUCAUAAUAUAUUAUUUGGGUUUAUAUACAUGAUUUAACAUCCACAAAUGGUUUGGACAAUCACACAUUCAUCAAGAAACCAUCAAUAAACUGUAUAAUCUGUGUAGUGUACGCACACUAUUGGUUAUAAUAGAGGAUAACAGCUACAAAAUGGGGCUUCCUAUCAGUGAGGUGAUCGUUUUUAUGUGCUUUUUAUAAAUGCGGUGGCACUAUUUCUGUCCAUCACAACCCUCCGGAGCACCUCCUGGUCUCUACAACAAAGUGUGAUCAUGGUUUGUUUCAUGGUUCAGCAGAAAAAAUAAAAGAAUCUCCAACGCAGAAAAAUAAUAAUUUACAGAAUAAAUGUGUUACAUGCUUAUGAAUCCUCUUCUUCAAGUAUAAAAAUACAAAAAAAGCUUGAUUAUAUAAAACAUAGAUGACACUUUUCUUUUUUACAUGUUAAUAAAGCGACCUCUUCAAAACAAAAAACUAAAUGGUCAUAUAAUAUACAUACAAUUUAUCUGUGAAGUGGUUCAGGUUAUACUUUAACUGCGUUUUUUUUCUAUUUCCGUGUUAGCGUUUAAUGCUAUCUCUGAGAUUACUAAUACAUUCCAUAAAUGUAAAUACUGAUUUCAUUUCUGUCAGUGGUAUAAAUACACACUCAGAGUCAGAUUUCCGACAGCAGCACAGUGUGCAGGAUUAUUUAUCUCGUCAUUUUAGAUUAAUUUCACACGACAGAAACCAUCAUCCUUCAUCACAACUUACUAUAUUUCUAGAUUUCUGGGUUUUAAUCCGAACGAACUCGCCACAUUCAAGGUACCUUUCAAUAAAAAUUCAUUUUGAAAGGGUUCAACUCUAAAAAAAAAAAAAAAAAAAACACAGAUUGUUGUGAACAAAAUGUGAGUAAAA